AGCGAACGCUGGCGGCAGGCCUAACACAUGCAAGUCGAACGAACCCUUCGGGGUUAGUGGCGGACGGGUGAGUAACACGUGGGAACGUGCCUUUAGGUUCGGAAUAACUCAGGGAAACUUGUGCUAAUACCGAAUGUGCCCUUCGGGGGAAAGAUUUAUCGCCUUUAGAGCGGCCCGCGUCUGAUUAGCUAGUUGGUGAGGUAAUGGCUCACCAAGGCUACGAUCAGUAGCUGGUCUGAGAGGAUGACCAGCCACAUUGGGACCGAGACACGGCCCAAACUCCUACGGGAGGCAGCAGUGGGGAAUCUUGCGCAAUGGGCGAAAGCCUGACGCAGCCAUGCCGCGUGGGUGAUGAAGGUCUUAGGAUUGUAAAAUCCUUUCACCGGUGAAGAUAAUGACUGUAGCCGGAGAAGAAGCCCCGGCUAACUUCGUGCCAGCCGCCGCUGUAAGAC
rnacentral:rRNA from 1 species